UUCCACAGCUACUGGUCUGCAGCUGUUCUUAUGUAGCAGUUGUGGCAUACCUCUGUGGGAGAGAAACUGUUCCAUGAUUAAACACCUCUUUCUUAGCAAAAUUGAAGUGGGCAUAUGUGUGACAAACAGAA
ensembl:snoRNA